rnacentral:rRNA from 1 species
UGAGGAAUAUUGGUCAAUGGGCGAGAGCCUGAACCAGCCAAGUAGCGUGCAGGAUGACGGCCCUAUGGGUUGUAAACUGCUUUUAUGUGGGGAUAAAGUGCGUGACGUGUCAUGCAUUGCAGGUACCACAUGAAUAAGGACCGGCUAAUUCCGUGCCAGCAGCCGCGGUAAUACGGAAGGGCCGGGCGUUAUCCGGAUUUAUUGGGUUUAAAGGGAGCGUAGGCUGUCUAUUAAGCGUGUUGUGAAAUUUACCGGCUCAACCGGUGGCUUGCAGCGCGAACUGGUCGACUUGAGUAUGCAGGAAGUAGGCGGAAUUCAUGGUGUAGCGGUGAAAUGCUUAGAUAUCAUGACGAACUCCGAUUGCGCAGGCAGCUUACUGUAGCAUAACUGACGCUGAUGCUCGAAAGUGCGGGUAUCAAACAGG